GACGAACGCUGGCGGCGUGCCUAAUACAUGCAAGUAGAGCGCAGGAAGCCGUCUGCACCCUUCGGGGGGACGACGGUGGAAUGAGCGGCGGACGGGUGAGUAACACGUAAAGAACCUGCCCAUAGGUCUGGGAUAACCACGAGAAAUCGGGGCUAAUACCGGAUGUGUCAUCGGACCGCAUGGUCCGCUGUUGAAAGGCGCUCCGGCGUCGCCCAUGGAUGGCUUUGCGGUGCAUUAGCUAGUUGGUGGGGUAACGGCCCACCGAGGCGACGCUGCAUAGCCGACCUGAGAGGGUGAUCGGCCACACUGGGGCUGAGACACGGCCCAGACUCCUACGGGAGGCAGCAGUAGGGAAUCUUCCACAAUGGACGAAAGUCUGAUGGAGCAACGCCGCGUGAACGAUGAAGGCUUUCGGGUCGUAAAGUUCUGUUGUAAGGGAAGAACAAGUGCCGCAGGCAAUGGCGGCACCUUGACGGUACCUUGCGAGAAAGCCACGGCUAACUACGUGCCAGCCGCCGCCGAA
rnacentral:rRNA from 1 species